rnacentral:rRNA from 1 species
AGAGUUUGAUCCUGGCUCAGAAUUAACGCUGGCGGCGUGCCUAACACAUGCAAGUCGAGCGGGAAAGGGGUUCGCCCCGAGUACAGCGGCAGACGGGUGAGUAACGCGUAGGAAUCUACCUUUUGGUGAAGAAUACCCUCGAGAAAUCGGGGUUAAUACUGCAUACGUCCUUCGGGAGAAAGAUGGCCUCUUUGCUGUCGCCAAAAGAUGAGCCUGCGUACUAUUAGCUAGUUGGUGGGGUAAUGGCCUACCAAGGCAAUGAUGGUUAGCCGGCCUGAGAGGGUGUACGGCCACACUGGAACUUAGACACGGUCCAGACUCCUACGGGAGGCAGCAGUGAGGAAUAUUGCGCAAUGGGCGAAAGCCUGACGCAGCGACGCCGCGUGGAGGAUGAAGGUCUUCGGAUUGUAAACUUCUGUUAAGUGGGAAGAAAUAGCCACGAGUAAUAUGCGUGGAAGAUGACGGUACCAUUAGAGAAAGCACCGGCUAACUUCGUGCCAGCCGCCGCGGUAAUUC